rnacentral:rRNA from 1 species
UACACACCGCCCGUCACAUCACGAAAGCCCGUUGUACUAGAAGCCGGUAAUUCAACCGCGAAGGAGAUAGCCGUCCAAGGUAUGACUGGUGAUUGGGGUG